GUGCUUUGGCAGCACACAUACUAAAAUUGGAACAAUGCAGAGAAUAUUAGCACGGCCCCUGUGCAAGGAUGACACACAAAUUUGUAAAGUGUUCCAUAGUUUU
ensembl:snRNA U6 U6 spliceosomal RNA